GAUGAACGCUGGCGGCGUGCCUAAUAUAUGCAAGUCGAGCGAACAGACGAGGAGCUUGCUCCUCUGACGUUAGCGGCGGACGGGUGAGUAACACGUGGAUAACCUACCUAUAAGACUGGGAUAACUUCGGGAAACCGGAGCUAAUACCGGAUAAUAUAUUGAACCGCAUGGUUCAAUAGUGAAAGACGGUUUUGCUGUCACUUAUAGAUGGAUCCGCGCCGCAUUAGCUAGUUGGUAAGGUAACGGCUUACCAAGGCGACGAUGCGUAGCCGACCUGAGAGGGUGAUCGGCCACACUGGAACUGAGACACGGUCCAGACUCCUACGGGAGGCAGCAGUAGGGAAUCUUCCGCAAUGGGCGAAAGCCUGACGGAGCAACGCCGCGUGAGUGAUGAAGGUCUUCGGAUCGUAAAACCCUGUUAUUAGGGAAGAACAAAUGUGUAAGUAACUAUGCACGUCUUGACGGUACCUAAUCAGAAAGCCACGGCUAACUACGUG
rnacentral:rRNA from 1 species